rnacentral:rRNA from 1 species
UACGUAGGGGGCUAGCGUUGUUCGGAAUUACUGGGCGUAAAGCGCACGUAGGCGGCUUUGUAAGUUAGAGGUGAAAGCCCGGGGCUCAACUCCGGAAUUGCCUUUAAGACUGCAUCGCUCGAAUUGUGGAGAGGUAAGUGGAAUUCCGAGUGUAGAGGUGAAAUUCGUAGAUAUUCGGAAGAACACCGGUGGCGAAGGCGACUUACUGGACAUAGAUUGACGCUGAGGUGCGAAAGCGUGGGGAGCAAACAGG